ACGAGUUUAUUCACGAAAUAUAUGUCAUUGCCGGUUGAGUAUAGCUACAAAAACGUUGUAUACGUCAAGUGGGCGUUAGGAAUGAAAAUAAAAUCAAUGUAUUUCUCUCUGUCAGGCCUGUUUUACAGGUGCAACAACAUGCUAUUGUAGCCUCGCCGCCGCUCUCCCACACAGCAGCGAGGCUAGCUGUAGCUUCAACGCCUGGACCAACGGCCGCGCUCGCGCCGCCUGUCAAAAGAACCGACACCUCCUGAAGUUUCCGGACAUCACCAAACGAGCCCCCUGGACUACCUUCUCAGCUCAUAACGCCAGGAUGCAAUCAGGAGGUUAAUCUGAACAGGACUCACCACUUGUCGACGUCCUCCUUGAUGACCUGGCACGGUGCUGGCACAGCUUCAUUAGAGUCUGGCAUUUUGACAGAGCAGAGCUGAGUUUGUGGAGAGGAGCUGCUGCACUGGCUUAAGUCAAGUACAGUUACAGAUUAGUUACAGAGAUGGAGGGACAGACAGUAAAGGAGGGAAGGAGAGAAGGUGGGGAGGCAUGACGCUGGCUGAGUGUCAUGAGCUGGAAGGUAAAAUACUUUUCAAUGAAUAUGCAGUUAGCUGACCUUUUGAGUCACACACUCUGCAUUACAAAGGCCUCAUAAUACAUCUAAAUGGUCACUACAGGGGAGAGCAUUUUCCUGAGAGGAGACUAUGGAGCCUGACUUUGUUUUUCACUGCUGGAUUAAAAGGUUGAGCUGAGAGAUGAAGCAUUUGUUGUACCCUAAAACAUUUGUGUUUGCAUUUUGUGCAAGUAAUACUUACUGAUACUAAUACCGAAAAUGAAUAAAGCCCAGAAACACAGAAUGAAUGACUCUGAACUCUACAGAAACACAUAUUUGUUGUAUAGUGUCUAAACAUGAA